rnacentral:lncRNA from 1 species
UUUGAAAUGUAAUCAAGAAAGAUAGGACCCCCGUUCUCUGUGGGAGGUAUUGAGUGAUGAUCAGUUGCAUGACUAACUAGAGACGAAGCUGCUCAAACAUUGUUUAACCCACGAGAAGUCUUUUAUAUGACACAGCAGCUCAGCUGCUUAUUUGUACAAGAUACCAAAGUUGUUACCACUGGAGCAUGCCAUCAAAGAGACAGAUUGUCCAACUGCAGUCAAGAAACCACUCGUGGUUUUGGCAUGAUCACAAAAUUAGCAGUUUUAGUGCAUUAGUUGCUAUAUUAGACAAAGCUCUGGAUUUCAUUCGCUAUUCAGGAAAUCUUCAU